UGGAGCUGAAGUCAGUCGAAGAUACCAGCUGGCUGCAACUGUUUAUUAAAAACACAGCACUGUGCAAACACGAAAGUGGACGUAUACGGUGUGACGCCUGCCCGGUGCCGGAAGGUUAAUUGAUGGGGUCAGCGCAAGCGAAGCUCCUGAUCGAAGCCCCGGUAAACGGCGGCCGUAACUAUAACGGUCCUAAGGUAGCGAAAUUCCUUGUCGGGUAAGUUCCGACCUGCACGAAUGGCGUAAUGAUGGCCAGGCUGUCUCCACCCGAGACUCAGUGAAAUUGAACUCGCUGUGAAGAUGCAGUGUACCCGCGGCAAGACGGAAAGACCCCGUGAACCUUUACUAUAGCUUGACACUGAACAUUGAGCCUUGAUGUGUAGGAUAGGUGGGAGGCUUUGAAGUGUGGACGCCAGUCUGCAUGGAGCCGACCUUGAAAUACCACCCUUUAAUGUUUGAUGUUCUAACGUGGACCCGUAAUCCGGGUUGCGGACAGUGUCUGGUGGGUAGUUUGACUGGGGCGGUCUCCUCCUAAAGAGUAACGGAGGAGCACGAAGGUUGGCUAAUCCUGGUCGGACAUCAGGAGGUUAGUGCAAUGGCAUAAGCCAGCUUGACUGCGAGCGUGACGGCGCGAGCAGGUGCGAAAGCAGGUCAUAGUGAUCCGGUGGUUCUGAAUGGAAGGGCCAUCGCUCAACGGAUAAAAGGUACUCCGGGGAUAACAGGCUGAUACCGCCCAAGAGUUCAUAUCGACGGCGGUGUUUGGCACCUCGAUGUCGGCUCAUCACAUCCUGGGGCUGAAGUAGGUCCCAAGGGUAUGGCUGUUCGCCAUUUAAAGUGGUACGCGAGCUGGGUUUAGAACGUCGUGAGACAGUUCGGUCCCUAUCUGCCGUGGGCGCUGGAGAACUGAGGGGGGCUGCUCCUAGUACGAGAGGACCGGAGUGGACGCAUCACUGGUGUUCGGGUUGUCAUGCCAAUGGCACUGCCCGGUAGCUAAAUGCGGAAGAGAUAAGUGCUGAAAGCAUCUAAGCACGAAACUUGCCCCGAGAUGAGUUCUCCCUGAGACUUUAGGUCUCCUGAAGGAACGUUGAAGACGACGACGUUGAUAGGCCGGGUGUGUAAGCGCAGCGAUGCGUUGAGCUAACCGGUACUAAUGAACCGUGAGGCUUAACCUUACAACGCCGAAG
rnacentral:rRNA from 1 species